rnacentral:ribozyme from 1 species
GCCUGAUCAUGUUCUGUAAAAGGGUUGGAUCCAACGCCCCUAGGAGACUACUAUAGGCUCUCCUUCUCAACUACUACUCAAUACGUCCACGACGUGCAGAACGGUAACUUGUCGCCUAGAUAUCCUAGCUUGGGUACACGAGGAGCCCCAACCCCUUGGGCGGAUGGGUGGCAAGACUGAUUUUAGAGGU